AUCAUUCUAACUAAAUCUAAUCUAAAUUAAAUCUAUACUGGCUGCGACAACAAGAUACCACACAAAUUUAAAGGGAAUCAAAAAGCAACAGCAUUGAAACGGAGUCAUGUCCAAAACAAUGGAUAAAUCGCAUUCUGGAUCUGGUGAAGAUACUUGUGUGGAUUCAACAAACAAAUGACAACAGUAAACGGCUCGCGUGGAGAGCAAAAGAGGCGGAACCGUUGACCGAGAUGCAUCGAGCUGCAUUCAAUUCAUAUGCAGACUGACGUUAAAGGGGCAACAGACAUUAUUGUGGCUCCUGUUUGGUCACACAGCAAGAAGCAAGACAUGGAAAGUUUCACACCUGCUUAACUUAAACAUCCAGACUGUCAACACUCACUCACUCACUCAUCUACCACCGCUUUAUCCUCCACAUGAGGGUCGCUGGUGCCAAUCCCAGCUGCACAUAGAGACAAACAACCAUCCACUCACACAUCACACGUACGGUCCAUUUAGAGCAGGGGUGUAAAACUCAUUUUUGUGGCCACAUACAGCACAAUUUAAUCUCAAGUG